AUCACUAUCAGACAUCAAAAAAGAGUUAGUUUGAAGAUCAAGUGUAAUAUCUGUUCUUAGUUUAAUAUCUGAUAUGUCCUCUAUCUGAGGACAAUAUAUUAAAUGGAUUUUUGGAGCAGGGACAUGGACAGGAGCUUGCUCCAUCCAGUCCAUGCAUUGGCCUGAUAUUGCAGUGUCUCCAGACACAAUGCAUCCCCU